rnacentral:rRNA from 1 species
AUUGAACGCUGGCGGCAGGCCUAACACAUGCAAGUCGAGCGAGCGGCGGACGGGUGAGUAAUGUCUGGGAAACUGCCUGAUGGAGGGGGAUAACUACUGGAAAAGGUAGCUAAUACCGCAUACCAUCAGAGGUGACCAGAUGGGAUUAGCUAGUAGGUGGGGGAAUGGCGCACCUAGGCGACGAGCCCUAGCUGGUCUGAGCGGAUGACCAGCAACACUGGAACUGGGACACGGUCCAGACUCCUACGGGAGGCAGAAGUGGGGAAUAGUGCACAAUGGGCUCAAGCCGGAUGCAGCCAUGCCGCGUGUGUGAAGAAGGCCUUCGGGUUGUAAAGCACUUUCAGCGGUGAGGCGUUACCCGCAGAAGAAGCACCGGCUAACUCCGUGCCAGCAGCCGCGGUAAUUC